UACGAAGGGGGCUAGCGUUGUUCGGAAUUACUGGGCGUAAAGGGCGCGUAGGCGGUGUGUCAAGUCAGGCGUGAAAGCCCCGGGCUCAACCUGGGAACCGCGCUUGAGACUGGCACGCUCGAGUUCGGGAGAGGAUGGUGGAAUUCCCAGUGUAGAGGUGAAAUUCGUAGAUAUUGGGAAGAACACCGAUGGCGAAGGCAGCCAUCUGGACCGACACUGACGCUGAGGUGCGAAAGCGUGGGGAGCAAACAGGG
rnacentral:rRNA from 1 species